UCCUCUCUUCCUCCUCCUGGCUCCCAACUUGUUUCUUCUUUCUUAUGUGCCAGUUGCUGUGCUGAGGAUAUGAAGCUAAAUAAGCCUCUCUCCUUUUCCUCAUGAAGCUCAAAAGCUUAGAUAGGAAGCAAAUAAAUAUAAUAUAGCAUGAUAAUUGCAAGAAUAUUAACAUGUCCAAAAGUUAAAGAGAGAAAGCAUAAAGAAGAAAGUGAUGAGCUCUGAGGGGUUGAGGCUUUUGCUCUCUCUUAAAUUGAUUGCUAUUUAGCACCCAUCAAAAGCUCUGCAGAGGGGACCAUCAUUAACGGCAUUUACGAAGACAUCCACUUAUUCCAACAGCAGGAGGAAGACCAACGCUUCUUAUCAUAAACACAAGUUCCUGCUAUACACAACACAUCCUUGAAUUCUAGGGAAGCCAAGAUGUACAUGAAAUGACUGCAGGUCUUAAAGGUCUUGAAUCUAAUUGUGGCACUGGGGCAUAUGUAGAGAUAAAUAUCACGUAGCAUAUGCUAAGGUGAUUUCGAAGAUCUAUUCUAUCUUAAGACACUGUAAGUCUAAUUAUUAAAUGAGCAAUACAGAC
rnacentral:lncRNA from 1 species